rnacentral:misc_RNA from 1 species
ACGCUGAUCACCGGCUUUGGCCGCAUAAUGGGCUUCGAGAUCGGGAUUCUCUGUAACAACGGGGUGCUGUUUUCCGAAUGCGCGCUGAAGGCGACUCACUUCGACCUCUGCUGCAAGCGCAAUAUCCCGCUGCUGUUCAUGGCCGACGUCACCGGCUUUAUGGUCGGGCGCGAGGCGGAAGAAGGCGGCAUCGCCAAGCACGGC